UACGAAGGGGGCUAGCGUUGUUCGGAAUUACUGGGCGUAAAGCGCGCGCAGGCGGCUAUCCAAGUCAGUGGUGAAAGCCCGGAGCUCAACUCCGGAACUGCCAUUGAAACUGUUUAGCUUGAGGACGAGAGAGGUGAGUGGAAUUCCCAGUGUAGAGGUGAAAUUCGUAGAUAUUAGGAAGAACACCGGUGGCGAAGGCGGCCCACUGGAUCGGUACUGACGCUGAGGUGCGAAAGCGUGGGGAGCAAACAGG
rnacentral:rRNA from 1 species